GACGAACGCUGGCGGCGUGCUUAACACAUGCAAGUCGAACGGAAAGGCUCCAGCUUGCUGGAGUACUCGAGUGGCGAACGGGUGAGUAACACGUGGGUAAUCUGCCCUGCACUCUGGGAUAAGCCUGGGAAACUGGGUCUAAUACUGGAUAUGACCUUUCUCCUUAUGGGGUUUGGUGGAAAGUUUUUCGGUGUAGGAUGAGCCCGCGGCCUAUCAGCUUGUUGGUGGGGUGAUGGCCUACCAAGGCGACGACGGGUAGCCGGCCUGAGAGGGUGAUCGGCCACAUUGGGACUGAGAUACGGCCCAGACUCCUACGGGAGGCAGCAGUGGCGAAUAUUGCACAAUGGGCGGAAGCCUGAUGCAGCGACGCCGCGUGAGGGAUGACGGCCUUCGGGUUGUAAACCUCUUUCAGCAGGGACGAAGCGUAAGUGACGGUACCUGCAGAAGAAGCACCGGCUAACUAUGUG
rnacentral:rRNA from 1 species